AUGGGUCACUUGGACACUGCGGUGCUGCGCGCGCGGUCCACACCGCCUGACGGCUGCUCGCGACGUUGUGUUGGUC
rfam:Xanthomonas oryzae pv. oryzae KACC10331, complete genome.